CAAACAGGGAAGCACCACACAUUUACACAGCGGAUCAGCAAGCACUGUGAUACGAACACAACAGUGAAAUGAAAGAGCAGCUCAUCAAGAGCACUUUGGGUUCCUGGAGAAACUUCCCACAGUGCAAAAGAGUUUCUAAGCUGUCCUGAAGAAAAAGACAAACUUGGGAGGAGCAGAAGAUCCCUUGCUUGCUGUUGGUCUUCAUUGUCAGAGCCAGUUUCUGGAAGAUCUGAAAUCUCUUCUGACAGACCCACUGGGAUCUCUGGUGGCUUGGCUGCUGAGUAGGCACAUUGAAGAAAAUCAAAAACUAUGUCUUCUGUUUGGGCCUAAAAUGUGGCUGUGUCCAACCACCAGCUCUCCAGGAAAGUUCCUCUUCAGAGGAGAGACCAUUGAAGCCAAGGAGUGGGAAAUGUGCUGGAGAGGAUGUGCUCCCUUGGGCAAAGCAAAGCAGUGUGCAGCUACUUUUCUGUUUCCUCCUUGUUGGACCCUCUCUGCUGUGCACCAGGGCAUAGACAGUCGUCUGCAUGACUGUCAGUGCUGUGAUGGAUUGGAGCAGGCUGGGAAGGCAGCAAGAGGGUGGGGAACAAGGAUGGCAAGAAUGUUCUCCAACACCGUUACCACCCGGAGCUUCUAGUUACUCUUCUGUCCCAAAAGCCAAGACAGCAUCAGCAGACUGCUCCAGUAACCCAGUGCAGCAGCCCAGGGUGCAGCACGAGAACCCAGACUGUAGCCCAGCGCAGUCCCAGGGGGCUACUGAGAUCUCCACAGCAAAGAUAGAUAAAUACUGUCUAAAUGUGUUUUGUUUUCGUUUGUUACUAUUUCCUG
ensembl:lncRNA